GUCAGUGCUGAACAGUCUUUCCCUGCAGUCUGGGGUCAGUCCAGAACAGUGAGUUUCCCUACAGUCUGAGACCAGUCCCGAACAGUCUUUCUCUGCAGUCUGGGACCAGCCCAGAACAGUGAGUUCUUCUACAGGCUGAGACCAGUCCAGUGCUACUGUCAUGGCUUCACCUGAAGAGAUGUUCCAUCGCGUUCACAUUAUGUUCUAGUGGUGUGCUACUCCAUACCAGGGUCCAGAAGCUGGGAAACAGGCCAUCCUUCAUACCAGGGUCCAGAAGCUGGGAAACAGGCUGUCCUUCAUACUAGGGUCCAGAAGCUGGGAAACAG
ensembl:lncRNA